rnacentral:rRNA from 1 species
GACGAACGCUGGCGGCGUGCUUAACACAUGCAAGUCGAGCGGUAAGGCCCUUCGGGGUACACGAGCGGCGAACGGGUGAGUAACACGUGAGUAAUCUGCCCUUCACUCUGGGAUAACCCUCGGAAACGAGAGCUAAUACCGGAUACGACCACUUCGGGCAUCCGAUGGUGGUGGAAAGUUCCGGCGGUGGAGGAUGAACUCGCGGCCUAUCAGCUUGUUGGUGAGGUAACGGCUCACCAAGGCUUCGACGGGUAGCCGGCCUGAGAGGGUGACCGGCCACACUGGGACUGAGACACGGCCCAGACUCCUACGGGAGGCAGCAGUGGGGAAUAUUGGACAAUGGGCGAAAGCCUGAUCCAGCAACGCCGCGUGAGGGAUGACGGCCUUCGGGUUGUAAACCUCUUUCAUCCAUGACGAAGCGCAAGUGACGGUAAUGGAAGAAGAAGCACCGGCCAACUACGUGCCAGCCGCCGCCGUAACAC